GUACGCCACUUUGGCUUGCAAAUGAUCACUUUUGCUAUUUUCGAGGCCAAACUGGAAUGCUGGAGUUCUAAAUUCUGCGUAUCCCUUCUUGCAUGUGUCUUGUUGUCGACUUGCGCCAUCUUUCCCUGUGUUUCAGGCCUCACAAGAUUAAAACUUGAUGCUUCAGACCCUCUGAGCCCCUUUGUCUGCGUGGAACGGGUCUCUAGUCGCGGGUGGACAAAGCGUAGGAUGAGUGACAAACAGACGCACACAGGAGAGGUCGAGGAAUCUGAAUGUCAUUUUUCAAAUCGAGCAUCAGACUUUUUAUGCAGAAGACAAUAAGGAAGUUGGAUGACAUACCUGCAAGGUACAAAUGAGCUUUCCCAGAUAUCUCUGAAGAUACCAUUUUGAAUAGGACUCACAUCACUCACUGCCUUGGAAAACAAAUUCGGGGGACCAAAGCAGAGACAAGCCACAGCAAGUAAACAAAGCUCUAGAGGAGAAGCGUUCCACUGCAGCCCCACGAAUCUGCAUGUCUAUCACACCCAGUGCCUGUAUCAUGGGUCUCUGGACUCUCCAGGGAUUUUCUGAAAGCCUGGUUGUUCUUCCAGAAGGGACAGAAGUGCCACUAGCAAGAAAAUCACCUCACCUGUGGCUCUCUAGGCCCCUAACCUAUACCCCUUUCCAAAUUGGAGAGUUUGAGAAAUCCUAAGACCAUGUCUGACUACAAAGUACCACUGUCUUGAGUUUGUAAUGCUCUUCUCUCUGGAUUGGAGCCAGGAUCCACCUCUGUGGGUGGGGAGAGCAGUGUGAAUUGUUUCCCAGAGAAACCCCACUUGGUUUCUUCUCUGUGUUGGACUCUUCAGGGUGGAGAUCACUCUGGCCAUGCAUAAUCAGAUUAACAUCAACGGUCCUUUACUCUGAAGAAGCCAUGGAGACCCCUCUUGCUGAUUAAGCCAGCUCAGGCUCCUGUGGAUGCUAUGGCCCUGGGCACUGAGCCCAGCAUCUGAACUUGUUCCUGGACCAGAGGUUCGAGAUGUCCACUUCUGAGGCCAUUUACUUCUUUGUGGGCCACCAGCUGUU
rnacentral:lncRNA from 1 species